rnacentral:pre_miRNA from 8 species
UUGUGUGUCUCAUCAGGACCUGAGCUCCGGUGCCUUCUGAGCUGAUAUCAGUUGUAGUAAAUCACUGGCUCAGUUCAGCAGGAACAGGAGUGUGGCCCCUCCACAAAGAAGCACACA